UACAGAGGUCUCAAGCGUUGUUCGGAUUCAUUGGGCGUAAAGGGUGCGUAGGCGGCGCGGUAAGUCGGGUGUGAAAUCUCGGAGCUUAACUCCGAAACUGCAUUCGAUACUGCCGUGCUUGAGGACUGGAGAGGAGACUGGAAUUUACGGUGUAGCGGUGAAAUGCGUAGAUAUCGUAAGGAAGACCAGUGGCGAAGGCGGGUCUCUGGACAGUUCCUGACGCUGAGGCACGGAAGGUCAGGGGAGC
rnacentral:rRNA from 1 species